GACAGUGUGGCGUAAUAGUUUGAGCGCUGGACUAUGACUCUGGAGACCAGGGUUCGAAUCCCCACUUGGACA